AUGUCCCUAACUGCUUCCUAAUCUCUAGA
rnacentral:piRNA from 1 species